rnacentral:rRNA from 1 species
GUCUAUGGCCAUACCACCCUGAACAUGCCCAGUCUCGUCUGAUCUCAUGAAGCUAGGGUCAGGCCUGGUUAGUAUUUGGAUGGGAGAAUUCCUGGCCUUUGGAUU